rnacentral:rRNA from 1 species
UACAGAGGUCUCAAGCGUUGUUCGGAUUCAUUGGGCGUAAAGCGUGCGCAGGCGGUUGGCCAAGUCAGCUGUGAAAGCCCCGGGCUCAACCUGGGAAUUGCGGUUGAAACUAGUCGACUAGAAUCUGGCAGAGGGGGGUGGAAUUCCACGUGUAGCAGUGAAAUGCGUAGAGAUGUGGAGGAACACCGAUGGCGAAGGCAGCCCCCUGGGCUGAGAUUGACGCUCAGGCACGAAAGCGUGGGGAGCAAACAGG